rnacentral:rRNA from 1 species
UGGGGAAUUUUGGACAAUGGGCGAAAGCCUGAUCCAGCAAUGCCGCGUGUGUGAAGAAGGCCUUCGGGUUGUAAAGCACUUUUGUCCGGAAAGAAAUCCUUGGCUCUAAUACAGUCGGGGGAUGACGGUACCGGAAGAAUAAGCACCGGCUAACUACGUGCCAGCAGCCGCGGUAAUACGUAGGGUGCAAGCGUUAAUCGGAAUUACUGGGCGUAAAGCGUGCGCAGGCGGUUUGCUAAGACCGAUGUGAAAUCCCCGGGCUCAACCUGGGAACUGCAUUGGUGACUGGCAGGCUAGAGUAUGGCAGAGGGGGGUAGAAUUCCACGUGUAGCAGUGAAAUGCGUAGAGAUGUGGAGGAAUACCGAUGGCGAAGGCAGCCCCCUGGGCCAAUACUGACGCUCAUGCACGAAAGCGUGGGGGAGCAAAACAGGAUUAGAUACCCUGGUAGUCCACGCCCUAAAACGAUGUCAACUAGUUGUUGGGGAUUCAUUUCCUUAGUAACGUAGCUAACGCGUGAAGUUGACCGCCUGGGGAGUACGGUCGCAAGAUUAAAACUUAAAUGAAUUGACGGGGUCAUA